GCACGAGACCUUUUUGGUCAGCAUGCCUUUACAAACAGCAAUAAAGUAGAAAUAAGAAGGGAUCUCAUCGAUGGAGCACUGCGUUAUGCCGGCGGCCUUCCAUUAGCCCUGGAAGUGUUGGGCUCAUUCCUACGUGGAAGAAAGGAACCUGAAUGGAAAAGUACGUUGCAUAAACUCUCUAAAAUUCCUGAAUCAAAAAUCAAUCGAGUUCUCAAGAUAAGCUUCGAUGGAUUGGACGAGAAUGAGAGGGAGAUUUUCCUUGAUAUUGCUUGUUUCUUUAAGGGGAAAAGUAUAAAGGACAUCAAGGAAGUUCUUGACAGCUGUGAUUUCGACACAAUCAUAGGAAUAGAAAUUCUCAUCGAAAGAUCCUUGAUAAAAAAUGAGGACGAGACCUUGCAAAUGCAUGAUUUGAUUCAGUCGAUGGGUCAAGAUAUUGUUAAUCAAGCAUGUCGUGAUGAUCCUGGGAAACGCAGCAGAUUAUGGCUUUUGGAGGAUGUUGAGGACGUUUUUUGUUAUAAUACGGUAAAAGUUGUUUAUGUCAGUUUUGCUACAUUUUGGUUUACAUUACUCUAAUUUGAACGGUCUAACGUAAAUCUUAAUUGAAAAUUUUGUCUGACAACUGAAUUUGCUCUGUUAUGGAUAGGGGACGGAUGCAGUAAAGGCCAUAGUAUUGGACUGGCCCCUACCAAAAGCGAUAAUCAUCAGUCCUGAUACUUUCGCAAAUAUGAAAAAGUUGAGAAUGCUCAUUUUGCUUGGAGGACAUAUCUCUUCACAAGCUCAAGUACGUCUCCCUAACGAGUUAAGAUGGCUUGAAUGGCCCAAUGCCCCGAAUCUAGAAUUUGGCUCCUGUCCAAAGAAGCUCAUGAGACUCGAUGUCCCAAAAAGUCAUAUUAGACAAUUAGGGGGCAACUCUCAGGUAAGCCCUUGUGAUGAUUAGCUUUUCCUUUUUAUAGCUAUAAAAAACAUUCGCAGAUCUUAAUGACCGCAUUAGCAUGUUUUUGCAGAAAUUUAGCAAGCUGAAGUCCAUCGAUUUCAGUGAAUGCAAGUCCCUGGUUAGUAUUCACGACCUGUCAUCGGCUCCAAAUAUGGAGAAAUUGAUUCUUAAGGGGUGUGAAAGCUUGGUGGAGGUUCACCCAUCCAUUGGAGAUCUUGUCAAGCUAGAAGUUUUGUCACUAGAAUUGUGCUCUAAUCUUAGAAAUUUUCUUAACAUGCUGAAGACUAAAUCUCUUCAAACCCUUGUGCUCCAUGGUUGCUCUAAACUUGAGAAGUUCCCAGAUAUAGUCGGAAAGAUGGAACAUCUGAAAAGACUUGAUCUACAUGGGACAGCUAUUAAAGAACUCCCUGCGUCAAUUGAAAAUCUUGUCUCUGUGGAGUCGAUGAAUUUAGCAUCUUGCAAAAACCUCGUGAGGCUUCCGUUGCAAAUUUAUAAGUUGAAGAAUCUCGAGUCCCUUGAUCUUGGGGACUGCUCGAAUUUAAUUACGUUUCCAAAAAACAUGGAGGAUUCAACUGAUCCUCAUGGCUGUUUGGGAUUCCGAAGACUACGCCAACUACACCUUUAUGGCUGCAAUCUAUCAGAAGUAGAGUUCCUUGAGAAUUUUUCCAGUUUUCCCGCAUUGGAGUUUCUACACCUUCAAUAUAACAAGUUUACUCAUAUGCCGACAUGCAUCAACAAGUACUAUUGUUUGCGCUCAUUGAAUGUUAGGGGAUGCGAAGUACUACAAGAGAUUCCUCAGCUUCCACCAGAUAUAGUUUAUCUAUAUGCAGAUUGUUGCAAAUCUCUACAAAUACUCCCAGAUUUGUGGGGUCAGCCCUCCCACACCUGGUCUGUUAGCUUGGUUUCAUGUUGUGAAUUAUUCGGCAAAGGGGUCAAUAUGGAUGAUGUGGCUAAUGUGUCAUUACUCGAGGUCUCUCUCUGUUUAUAUGUAUAUGUAUAUGUAUAUGUAUAUGUAUAUAACUUCAAAUGCUUGACAUGCGUACUUUCCGUGUGACAGAAACUGCCAAAGAUGAUAGAUGACGUCAGCAUUGUCGUAAUUGGAAGAGAGAUGCCUAAAUGGAUUCUCCCCUGUGAAGAGGAUUCCAUAUCUUUCAUGAUUCCCUGGGAGAUGUACGACAAGUUAAAAGGAGUAGCAGUCUGUGUUGUUCUUGGCCCGGAGGAAGGAAAAGUGGUCGAUGCUUCAUGUUCAUUCGAAAUAUUUGUUAAUGGCCAGUCAGCGGGUCAAUGGGUGGAAUCUUUUUAUUUAUUAGAAUCUGACCAUGUGUGGUUUUAUUAUUAUUAUAUACACCAUUUUGUAAUUUGGCAAAAUGAUGGGAUCCAUUACCAAGUUUGCCUCAGGGCAAAAAUAGCAAGCAUAAAGAAGUGUGGAUUCCGUCCAAUAUACGAGCAAAACGAGGAUAUUCUGAGGAUGGUGAUCCCAGCACCAUCCGACAAUGGAAACAAAUUGAAGUUUUCAAGGAGUGACUCAGAAGAAGAUUGUUCAAUAGACACCGUGGAAGCAGAUGUUCUAUUUGAAAUAUCUGCAGAGCAAAGCUCAUCACGUUUAACAAAGAAGAGAAGACGGUCUUAACUACGGUGAGACUAUGAGUUCCAAUGUCUUUACUUUUCCCUUUUCUGGGCCUCCACUAGAGAUUUGCAAGUGCCUGCUUCUUCAAUUAGAAUUCAAGAUCAUUAUAAGAUGGGUUUCGCACCAUGCUAUUGGCAUGAUUGAGGAACUUUUUUUUUUCUUUCUGCCUUGUUUCUCUAUGAUUUGUGAUGCUGAGUGCAUUAAACCAAAAAUUAAGAGGAUGCUUGUUAAAAUGGCCAUAGUCUUCCAAGUUACUCCGUGUAAUUUAUCACACGAGCCUCUGUCACCUCUCUUAAUCCAAUUAAUGAUGUCAAUAUUUGGUACUUCAAAAUUCUGAGAUAGUAAAGUUUGCUCAAUCUAGUAUAAUCUGCAUCUUUAGGAUAGUGUCGUUUGAAUUGUCUCAAACAUCAAGAGGUCUAAACAGGGAAAAUUAGUUGAUUCCUCUAUUGUUGGUCGGCAGAUUGCAUUGGAUAGGUAAAAAGGGAUAGCGCUAGCUUCUAAGAAACUUUGCAUUUUGGCAAAGGAGGUUGACUUCAAGGAUUUUCAUGAAAAGCAAAUAGUAUGUGGCGAACACCUUCUAAAAUAAGUAUCGCAAAGCAAUUUUGUCUUUUGAGUCCUUGGCCUACCCUUCGUCAUUCCAGAUUCGUUUGUCGAUCACAUCGAUGUCGCCCUCCACACCCUCGCCGCCGCGCAUAAGCAGCAUAUUUAUCUGAAAUCGAAAGCUGAAAACGUCCUCAUGAGCCAAAUUACCGAGUCCGGUCCAAUAUUUUCCUGAGAAUGGGACAGGCUGAGAGCGCUUGUUUCUUUAAAGCGAGAAAGAGCGAGAGCCAGAGCAAAGGGAAGAGAUCGUCGACUUCGCUGCCGAUCGGAGAAGGGCAACGCCGGGUCAGAGGCCGCCGUGCCUCUCCGAGAGCAAAGCCAACUCUGUUUCAGCCUUCAGCCCUUGAUUUUCGCAGCAAGACUCUCUGUUCCGAUGCUUGGCAUUCUAGGGAAGCACAUGUACCAUCAGCUCUUCUAAUGGCUGCUUCUUCGAACAUGAAAAGGAAUUACCAUGUGUUCCUCAGUUUCAGAGGGACAGAUGUCCGCCAUGGCUUCCUCAGUCAUCUCUACGCGGCUCUGGACCAGAAAGGAAUAUACACUUUUGUGGAUAGCGAAGAGCUUAGGAAAGGAGAGGAAAUAUCGCCGACGCUCAUGAGGGCGAUUGAGGAAUCGCGCAUUGCGAUCAUCGUUUUCUCUGAGGACUACACCUCCUCGCCGUGGUGUUUGGAAGAGCUCUUGAAAAUCAUGGAGUGCAAAAAGCGAAACGACCUGAUUGUGGUCCCUGUGUUUUACAAAGUGGAACCGAGAGAAGUAAGAGGAGGGAGAGAAAGAUAUGGGAGAGCUAUGACUAAGCAUGAGUCCAAGUUCGGAAAGGAUUUGCAGAAAGUGAAGAGAUGGAAGAAAGCUCUCUUUGAAGCCGGUAGCUUGUCUGGGUGGCCCUUGAAUGACAAGUACGCACAAAUGUGACGCGGUGCUUUGCGGUUGUUAGCUUGUGAUUGUUUGUUAGAUAUCAAAUCGUAUGUAUAGCUGCGAAUUGCCGAUGCAUCAACUUCUUUGAAUUCGCUGUAGACACAAAAGUCGAAAAACCAAAAUUUCAAGCUAGCAGAAAUUUUAGUCUUAGAAAAGUAGUGUGGUUCCUAGGACCCGAGUAUUUUGUGUCUUCAGGCGCAGAUUCUUUGUAAUUUUCCUUCCGCAGAUGUUGGUGCCGGUAUGUGUUAUUUCUUUUCAUCUUUUUAUUUGUUAAUCUCCUUAUGAAAUUUUCCUUAUGACGUUAGACAUUGAAUUCCUGCCAUGGCUUGAAAUGGUAAAACAUGUUUCUAUUUCUUUUGAGUGCUCAUCAGACAUGAAGCGGAGCUCAUACAAUCCAUCACCGAGGAAUUAUCAAGUCGUCUCAGACCAAGAUCCUUAGAUGUUGCUAAGUAUCCGGUCAAUAUAGAUUCCCGAGUUCAAAAACUGAUAAGUUUGUCAUAGUCAGCUGGUAGUGAGGUUUUGAUGAUAGAUCUAUGGGGACUUGGCGGCAUAGGGAAGACUAUGAUUGCUAAGGCCCUAUAUAAUGCUAUUAAGAAGCAAUUUCAGGGUUGUAGUUUUUUGGCACAAGUCAGAGAAAAAUCGAACCAAAGCGAUGGUCGUGUUGCUUUGCAAAAACAACUUCUAUCUGAGAUCUUACCUCAUACAGAAUUACCCGGUCUACAAUGUUGAUGGAGGAAUUAGUUGAUACGAGAAAGACUAUGUUGCAAGAAGGUUCUCCUAGUUCUUGAUGAUGUUGAUAAGAUAGAUCAACUACAUGCCUUAGCUAGAAGAGGCAAUUGGUUUGGCCAAGGAAGUAGAAUCAUUGUUACGUCAAGGGAUAAACAUUUACUAACUUCUCAUACCAUAAAUUGUGUGUAUGAAGUUAAAACUUUACAAGAUGACAAAGCACGAGACCUAUGACGACCCAGACCCGAGGCAGUACGGAGGGACGGACUAAGAUCACCUCGGCAGUACGUGGGCAAGGCUAAGAGCAUUUCUCCUGUCCCACAUCGCUUAGGGGGAGAGUCCUAGGCUAGUUUAUAAUGGCUUGGGCCUCUCUAAUCUGUGUAACGUGUUUCACGUACGCUUCCGCUGCGCUGAAAACAAAGCCGUGAGGGAGGACGGGCCGGUGGGCCAUGCCUCCAAAGUAGACAAUAUUAUGGCUUGGGAGAGGGAAGGCUUGAGGGAUGGCCCUAUGUCCCUGCGUAAUGCGUUUUAAGUCCGUGAGGACUCAGUGUCCAAAGCAAACAAUAUUACAUAAUGGGGCUCGGGUCAUUACAAAUGGUAUUGAAGCAGACUCCUGACCACGUGUGGGGCCACAGCGAGGGCACUGUGCCUUAAGAGGGGGAGAAUGUGAUGACCCAAACCCGGGGCAGUACAGAGGGACGGACUAAGAUCGCCUCAGCAGUACGCGGGCAAGGCUAAGGGCAUUUCUCUUGUCCCACAUCACUUAGGGUGAGAGUCCUGGGCUAAUUUAUAAUAACUUGGGCCCCUCUAAUCUGUGUAAUGCAUUUCACGUAUGCUUCCACUACGCUAAAAACAAAGCCGUGAGGGAGGAUGGGCCGGUGGGCCGUGCCUCCAAAGCGGACAAUAUUAUGGCUUGGGAGAGGGAAGGCCCGAGGGAUGGCUCUCUGCCUUUGCGGAACGCGUUUUAAAGCCGUGAGGACUCAGUGUCCAAAGCGGACAAUAUUACACAGUAGGGCUUGGGUCAUUACAAGACCUUUUUGGUCAAUGUCCAAAGCGGACAAUAUUACAUAGUAGGGCCCGGGUCAUUACAAGACCUUUUUGGUCAGCACGCCUUUACAAAUAGCAAUGAAGUAGAAAUAAGAAGGGAUCUCAUAGAUGGAGCACUGCAUUAUGCCAACGGCCUUCCGUUAGCCCUGGAAGUGUUGGGCUCAUUCUUAUGUGGAAGAAAGGAACCUGCAUGGGAAAGUGCAUUGCAUAAACUCUCCAAAAUUCCUGAACCAACUAUCAAUCAAGUUCUCAAGAUAAGCUUCGAUGGAUUAGACGACAAUGAGAGGGAGAUUUUCCUCGAUAUUGCUUGUUUCUUUAAGGGAAAGAGAAUAGAAUACAUCCAGGAAGUUCUUGACAGCUGUGAUUUCGACACAACCAUAGGAAUAGAAAUUCUCAUCGAGAGAUCCUUGAUAAAAAAAUGAGAAUGGUUCUUGCAAAUGCAUGAUUUGGUUCAGUUGAUGGGUAGGGAUAUUGUUCAACAAGAAUGUUGCAAUGAUCCUGGGAAACGCAGCAGAUUAUGGCUUUUGGAAGAUGUUGAGGACAUUUUUUGUUAUAAUACAAUAAAAUUUGUUUGUCAGUUUUGCUACAUUUCAGUUUACAUUACUCUAAUUCGGACAGUAUAAUGUAAAUCUUAACUAGAAAUUUUGUCUAACAACUGAGUUUGCUCUGUUAUGGAUAGGGGACAAAUGCAGUAAAGGCCAUAGUAUUGAAAUGGUCCCCACCAGAAGCGAUAAUCAUCAAUCCUGAUGCUUUCACAAAUAUGAAAAAGUUGAGAAUGCUCAUUUUGCUUGGAGUUCAUAUCUCUUCACAAGCUCAAGUACUUCUCCCUAAUGAGCUAAGGUGGCUUGAAUGGCCCAAUGCUGUGAAUCUAGAAUUUGGCUCUGGUUCGAAUAAACUUGUGGGACUCAAUGUCCCGAAAAGUCAUAUUAGACAAUUAGGGGGCAAUUUUCAGGUAAGCCCUUGUGAUAAUUAGCUUUUCCUUUUUAUAGCUAUAAAAAUAAUUUGCAGAGCUUAAUGACUGUACUAGUAUGUUUUUGCAGAAGUUUAGAGAACUGAAGUACAUCAAUUUUUGUGAAUGCAAGUUCCUGGUUAGUAUUCCUGAUCUGUCAUCAGCUCCAAAUAUGGAGAAAUUGAUUCUUAAUAGGUGUGAGAGCUUGGUGGAGGUUCACCCAUCCGUUGGAAAUCUUGUCAAGCUAGAAGUUUUGUCGCUAGAAUUGUGCUCUAAUCUUAGUAAUUUUCCUAACACAAUGAGGACUAAAUCUCUUCAAACCCUAACACUCGCUGGUUGCUCUAAACUUGAGAAGUUCCCAGAUACUGACGAAAAGAUGGAACAUUUGAGAAGCCUUUCUCUAGGCAGGACAGCUAUUAAAGAACUCCCCGCAUCAAUUCAAAAUAUUGUCUCUGUGAAGUAUAUGUAUUUAGCAUCUUGCAAAAACCUGGUGAGGCUUCCAUUGCACAUUUAUAAAUUGAAAAAUCUCUUCUAUUUGGAUCUUGAUGGCUGCUCGAAUUUAACCACGUUUCCAAAAAACUUAGAGGAUUCAAUUGAUCUCGAUGGCUGUCUGGGAUUCCGAGAACUAUCCUGCCUAGUGCUUAGUGGUUGCAAUCUAUCAGAAGUAGAGUUCCUUGAGUUAUUCCAGUUUUCCCAAUUUGUGCUCCCUAGUCCUUUCAAAUAACAAGUUUACUCAUUUGCCAACAUGCAUCAACAAGUACUAUCAUUUGGGCACAUUGCGUGUUAAGGGAUGCGAGCUACUACAAGAGAUUCCUCAGCUUCCACCAAAUAUUUGUGUACUACCAGCAUCUAAUUGCAACACCCUGCAAAAAAUCCCAGAUUUGCUGGGGGAUCGUCGUUCCUUUUCGGGUGAUUUGAGUUCAUGUCGUGAAUUAUUCUGCGAAGGGGUCAAUAUGGAUGGUGUGGCUAAUUUGUCAUUACUCGAGGUCUCUCUCUCUCUCUCUCUCUAUAUAUAUAUACUUAAGUGCUUGAUAUGCAUACCCUCUGCGUGACAGAAACUGCGAAAGAUGGGCUAGCUUGACAUUAUUAUAAGUGGAAGAGAGAUGCCUAAAUGGAUUCAACCCUGUGAAGAGCAUUCCAUAUUUUUCAUGGUUCCAUGGGACUUUUAUGAUAAGUUUAAAGGGCUAGCACUCUGUGUUGUUCUUAGCCCGGAGGAAGGAAAAGUGGUCGACGUUUUAUGUCACGUCACGAUACUUGUAAAUGGCCAAUCCGUGAUGACUCUGGGCAAAAAACUUUGGUCAAUGGAAUCUGACCAUGUGUGGCUUUAUUAUUAUUCACACGAUGGUCUGUUUAAAGAGAAGAAGCUUUUGCGAAAUGAUUGGAGCCAUGUCCAUGUCUGCUUCGAAGCAAAACAGGGAAGCAUAAAGAAGUGUGGAUUCCGUCUAAUAUGUGAACAAAAGGAGGAUGAUCUAAGGGUGGUGUUCCCAGUAUCACCAGCUGAUGGAAGCAACCCAGUACCACCAGCUAAUGGAAGCAAUGUGAAGGUUUUCUGGGAAGACUCAGAAGAAGAAAAUUCAAUAGAACCCGGGGAAGAAACUCCAAUUGAAACAGAUGCAGAGGAAAGCUCAUCACCUUUAACAAAGAAGAUAAGACGGUCUUAACUACGGUGAGACUUUGAGUUCUAAUGUCUUUGCUUUUCCCUUUUCUGGACCUCCACUAGAGAUUUGCAAGUGUUUGCUCCUUCAAUUAGAAUUCAAGAUCAUUAUAAAACAGAGGUUUCGCACCAUGCUACUAACAUGAUUAGGGAACAUUUUUUUUUUUUUUUUGCCUCUGAUUCUUUAUGAUUUGUAAUGCCUGUGCAUUAACCAAAAAUUAAGAGGAUGCCUGUUGAAAUGGCCAUGGUCUUCCAAGUUGCUCCAUGUAAUUUAUUAGAUGGGCCUGUGUCGCCUCUCUUAAUCCAAUUCCAAUUAAUGAUGUUGAUAUUUCAUAAUUCAAAAUUAUGAGAUAGUAAGUUUUGCUAAAUCUACUAUAAUCUAUAUCUUUAGGAAAGUGCUGUUCGAAUUGUCUCAUAGAUCAAGAGGUCUAUACAGGGAAAGUUAGUUGAUUCCUCUGUUGUUACUCGGCAGCUUGCAUUGGAUAGGUAUAAAGGGAGAGCUUUGGCGUAUGAGAAACGUUGCAUUUUAGUAAAGGAGAUUGACUUCAAGGAUAUUCAUGAAAAGCAAACAGUAUUUGGCAAACACCAAACACCUUCUAAAAUAAGUAUUGCAAAGCAAUUUUUAGAAUGAGAAAAAAAAAAUUAACAAGGAAGAAUGAAGGAACUUGCAAGUACAUAUGAAAGCACAAGCGGGUGGCACAACAGUAGGACUAGUGUCGACCUUGUGCGAUCCUAGGCAAUAUGCCAUUGAGGUCAACCAAACCUAGGAGACGCAACACCAGUGUUGCUUGACCCUAGGCGACAUGGCACUCGACGCCAAUGUCCCAUAACCUCAAGUGGUGGAAUGUCGAAGCCACACAACUAGGCAACGCGACGCUCAACCCUCGACAAGCUAAAUCUGGCAUCAAGCAACCCUCACAAAGCUUCUAGGAAUCAUGCAAUCGUCAACAAAGCUUUGCCGGUGUCCAUCAACCGUCGGCCUCCUUCACGAAGCUUCCUAGCCAUAACCAACCAUGGCUUUCUCUCUCCUAACCAAAAUUGAGGGGUAAAAUAUUAUUACAAAUAUAUUUUGAUGAUGGUAAGAUUGUAAGAAAAGAAAUUUCAUUAAUCUCCCGAACUUGCAUUCGGAAAAUACUAAAGUCCAAAGGUGAGGCUCGCCUCAAGCUUAAAGCAUUUCAAAGCAGAACUUUUUAUUAAAAAGUUUUUGAAGUUAUGUUACCAAAUAUCAAAACUUGUUUUAAGAGCUUUUGAAAGCUAAAACAGCUUAAUUCAAGAUGACGGAGCACUCAAAUUUUUAAUGGCCAAAUUGGACGGGAUUGAAACGGAGGGUAAAAUUGGAAGAGUAUAUCAAUUUGGGGGUCCCUGUGGGUCAAACAAUAAUUUUUAGUAAAUUAUUUAAGGGUAUUGAUUUAAGAUUUUUUGUGAUGGUAAUCCAAAAAUGGAGUUUCAAGGAAAAAAAAAAAACUCAAAGGAAGACAAUUUUCAAUAGAUACCGAGGAAGAAUAUAGUCCAGUGGAACAAAACUUAACAAAGAAGAUGAAAUGGUCUCUACCGUGGCAGAGUAUGGCUUGCAAAACAUGCUUGUUGAGUUGGUCAUGACUUGUUGAGGAAGUGAUUCCAGGUGAUUUUCAUUCCAAUGUCUCUAGCUUUUCCCUUUUUUUGUAUACUGAAAUUUGAAAAUGUCUGCUCCUUGGAUCAGAAUUUAAAAUCACAAUGAAAUAGAGGUUUCGCCUCAGGCUACUAACAUGGUUGAGGAACUUCUUCGUUUUCCUCUCUUUUAUGAUUUGUGAUGUUGAGUGCAUAAAAUCAAAAUUAAUUGGAUGCUUGUUGAAUGGCCAUUGGUCUUCCAAGUUGCUCCGUGUAAUUUAUCAUAUGGACCUCAAGGAGAACAAAGGACUAUGUCGACGCUUAUGAAAGCACAGAUGAGCGACACAACGGUGGGACCAAUGCCGACAUUGCACGCCCCCAAGCGAUGUGGCAUCGAGGUCGAGCAAACCCACACAAUGCAACAUCCAUGUCUUGUGACCCCAAGUGGUGCAUCGCAGAGGCCACCCGCUAGGCAACACAACACUUGACCCUCGUUAAGCUAAAAUUGGCAUCGAGCGACCUUGACCAAGCUUCCCAGCAUCAUGCAACUGUCAACGAGCUAGAUCUAGUGUCAAGCAAUCCUCAACGAAAGUUGAGGACUUAUCUUGAGCUUUGAAUAUUUUCAAAACAAAAAUUUGUACAAAAAAUCUUUGAAAUUGUGUUACCAAAUUUCAAAACUUUGAAUCAAAGGCAUUUGGAGGCCCAAAACAAGUUAAUUCAAACACUCAAAAUUUAUAAUGGCUAAAUUAGAUGGGAUUGAAAAGGAAGGUGAAAUUGGAAUACACUAAAAUUGCCUUUAUAUUCUUCAUCAGCUUACAUUAAAAUUCAAUGAUGUAGAAAUGACAUUUGCUGAUUUCUCAAUCCGACAUCUUAAGCUAAAUAUAAGAUUACUAUAGUCUCCACACAAGUGACCUAAUCACAUUAUGAGAGAAUGAGAUAUCAAAAGCUCAUUACUAAACUAUCACUUAUAAUCAUUAAAGGUUCAAGAUCAUGUGCACGGCGAUGUCUUUUUUCAAUAUCUAAUUUCUUGGAUCGUAACAUGUAUUCAGGUCUCGUAUGAUUCACCAGUCAUAACAUCACUCCUUCGCUCACUCUCUCUCUCUCUCUCUCUCUCUCUCUCUCAUGUGCAAACAAAUUUAUACUCCACAGAGGACAGGAAAGAACUACCAACGCUAGUGACCCUCUUUUGGAUGUCACCCCAUAAAGAGUAUUGUUGACCUCUGAGUUUUGUCCAUUGUCCAAGUGUCCAUUUUGGGCAAAAACAUAAAAGCGCUAGUGACCUUGAGUAUUGUCCAUUGUCCAAGUGUCCAUUUUGGGCAAAAACAUAAAAGUGCAAAUAAUAAUAAUUAGAAUUAGUUCAGCCCAAAAUCUAAUCCCCUCAGCCCAUCUUUUAGUUCCCUUUGAGCCCAUUUUUUUUGUUCCUAAUGUUGUCCUCAAUAGCCCAUCUGAACUUAAAACAAGAAGGCCCAGGCCAUAUCCAGGCCCCUUCUCUUUCGCAUGCUCACGUCUGUGAGCGAAGAAGACGCGAGCAGUGACCGAGCAAAAGAGGCGUCCGUGAGUCGGUCUGUGAGAGAACAAUGAGAGAGGGAAAGUAACAUAAAAGAUUCCUUCUCGGAGAGAGAGGGGAGGAGGACGCUCGACGACAUGGAGAGUGCAUCCCGUUUCGGAGUAGCAGAAAACCGCAUCGCCGGAGUUCGCCGUCGGUUUUCAGAGCUCCGGUCAACGGCCAAUCCGUGAGUUGUUCUUCACAGAGUCGGUGUCGAAGGUCAGACGAGUACUGAGAUUUCUUCCGCGAGAGGAGGAAAAGCUCUAACCAGACGCCCUUCAUCGUCGUCAAUCGAGACCUCGAUUCGCCGAACAAACCAGGUACAAUCUCGCUCCAAACGCUCUACUUUGUCUCUGUUUUGGCCGAGAAAGACAUGCUCGGUUCGAUCGAUUUUCUUGAAGAGAUCUUGAUAAGACGAAGUUUUUUUGUUGCUAACCAUGGUGUUUUAAGUCUGUUCGUAACGUGUGAGGCUGAGGAUCUCAUUAAAAUUAAAACAGAAAACCAUUGAAAGAUCUGCGUAUUGCAUAUUUGAUAAAAUGCCUAAAAGAGCGUCGAAUGUCAACUCCCGUCUAAAUUCAAGAUCGAUUCGUACUUGCUGUGUUUUUUGUUGAAUCAUAUCUAAUACUGGCAUUUUCUCUGUGUUUCUAUGCGAUUUGAUGUCUUUGCUUGAGUCCAACGUACAUGCGUAUCUCCAAGGCCGGAAAACUUUUCGUCAGAGUAUCCCCUUGCGCUGGCGAAGUCAGUGUUUCAGGGACAUACUAGUUAGCCCAUCUCACUUCAUUCUAAUGUAUUUUUUCUUGUUAAUUUUUUGGGAUGCUGCGGUGAAAAGUGUGGAUUAGGUAGGAUGGUUUCUGUUAAGUUUCGCGAUAAUGGAGCGGGAGGCCAGAGGUGGUCAACGUCGGUCGGAAUAAAUGAUCAGCG
rnacentral:lncRNA from 1 species